rnacentral:rRNA from 2 species
UGCAAGUCGAACGAGGUCCGGAGCUUGCUCCGGGUGCCUAGUGGCGAACGGGUGAGUAACGCGUGGGAAUCUGCCCUGGAGUGGGGAACAACAGUUGGAAACGACUGCUAAUACCGCAUACGCCCUGAGGGGGAAAGGCUUCGGCCGCUCUUGGAUGAUCCCGCGUCUGAUUAGCUUGUUGGUGGGGUAACGGCCUACCAAGGCGACGAUCAGUAGCUGGUCUGAGAGGAUGAUCAGCCACACUGGGACUGAGACACGGCCCAGACUCC